GACGAACGCUGGCGGCGUGCCUAACACAUGCAAGUCAACUUGACUGAAGGAGCAAUCUGACAGUAGAGUGGCGCAAGGGUGCGUAACGCGUAAGUAACUUGCCCAAGGUAAGGAAUAACGUCGAGAAAUCGGCGCUAAUACCUCAUAAUGCAGCGGAUCCGCAUGGAUAUGUUGUUAAAGGUUUACCGCCUUGGGAUAGGCUUGCGUCUGAUUAGCUAGUUGGUGUGGUAACGGCACACCAAGGCUACGAUCGGUAACUGGUCUGAGAGGAUGAUCAGUCACACUGGAACUGAGACACGGUCCAGACUCCUACGGGAGGCAGCAGUGAGGAAUAUUGGGCAAUGCUCGAAAGAGUGACCCAGCAACGCCGCGUGGAGGAUGAAGGUAUUCUAUAUCGUAAACUCCUGUGAGAGCAGACGAAAGACAGAUUAUUAAUCUGGAUGACUGUAUGCUCAGAGGAAG
rnacentral:rRNA from 1 species